AAUUUAAACGGGCACAAACUGGCACAACUCCCUGCAAACGCUGCUGAGUUUCCCGUCGCCCUGCAGAUCAGAAGCUGGGAUUCACAAGGAGAUAAAAACGGUUAAAUCCAUAGGGAAAAAAAUUGGGAAUGAGUUUUUCCAGUGCCAUUUCUCCUGAGUUACCACGAGAGGGACACAGAAGGAAAGCAAAAGGAGCUGGGGAAGAAAGAAUCCAAGGACCAGCUCGAGGUUUAAUUGGGGAUACACAAAUAUUCCCAGAACAAGUCACAGGGAUGUAACUCCAUGAGGGAAAAGGAGGAGAAGAUUUUAGCCAAAAUCCAAGGAUUUUGAAUGAAGAAAGUUCUCAGAAAUUAAGGAUGCUGUUUUCUUCCCCAUUUAUGGAAUUUGAACCCUGGCAAGGCUGGGCCACCUUGCAGAGGAAGACAGGGACUGGCAACCUGGGACCUGGAUGGUUCUUCCAACCUGGAGCAAAAAGCCCAAAGGAAAUGACCUGGCUUGUCGAUUGUGUGGUUUUGGUGAGUUAAUUUGGCUGUUAAAUAACAGAAAUAAUAGAAAAUGUGGUUAUUUAAAUAUAUAAUGAAACCACCCUUAUAUAUAAGAAUAGGCCUAUUGUUAUGAUCGGUUUAUAGGGUUAUAAAAUGGGAUUUUGGAGGUGCUGAGCUCUGUCCAGAGGCACUCCUGAUGGGAUUUAAAUUUUAAAAAACUCCCUCCCUGCCUGGCUGGAGGUCACAGAGCAAUCCCAAAGUGAUUUUUCCUCUCCAGAAUUUUGGCAAUUGGGGCCACUGAAAAUUUAGAAACCCAAAAUUCACUGGAGACCCAACUUUCAAGGCUUUGGUUUGGGUGCUUAUUUUUAAUGCGGAUUUAUUUGAUCAAUAAAUACAUCAAAAUUCAUUGAAAAUGCA
ensembl:lncRNA